GGAGGGGUGGCCGAGUGGUUAAAGGCAGCAGACUGUAAAUCUGCCCGCUUACGCGUACGCUGGUU
rnacentral:tRNA from 1 species